rnacentral:rRNA from 1 species
AUUGAACGCUGGCGGCAUGCCUAACACAUGCAAGUCGAACGGCAGCACAGCAGUAGCAAUACUGUGGGUGGCGAGUGGCGGACGGGUGAGGAAUACGUCGGAAUCUGCCCAGUCGUGGGGGAUAACUAGCCGAAAGGUUAGCUAAUACCGCAUACGACCGAGAGGUGAAAGCGGGGGACCGCAAGGCCUCGCGCGAUUGGAUGAGCCGACGUCGGAUUAGCUAGUUGGCGGGGUAAAGGCCCACCAAGGCGACGAUCCGUAGCUGGUCUGAGAGGAUGAUCAGCCACACUGGAACUGAGACACGGUCCAGACUCCUACGGGAGGCAGCAGUGGGGAAUAUUGGACAAUGGGCGCAAGCCUGAUCCAGCAAUGCCGCGUGUGUGAAGAAGGCCUUCGGUUGUAAGCACUUUCGGUAGGAAGAGGAAGGACGUGUACUCCCACGAAUAAGACCUACGGCUAACUACGUGCCAGCAGCCGCGGUAAGUACUU